UACGGGGGGGCAAGCGUUGUUCGGAAUUACUGGGCGUAAAGGGUGCGUAGGCGGCUUUCUAAGUCGGAUGUGAAACUCUGGCUCAACCCAGAGCCUGCAUCUGAAACUUGGAAAGCUAGGGUUCUGGAGGGGAAAGCGGAAUUCCUGGUGUAGCGGUGGAAAUGACGUAGAUAUCAGGAGGAACACCGGUGGCGAAGGCGGCUUUCUGGACAGAUACCGACGCUGAGGCACGAAAGCUAGGGGAGCAAACAGG
rnacentral:rRNA from 1 species